rnacentral:rRNA from 1 species
AACGAACGCUGGCGGCAGGCCUAACACAUGCAAGUCGAGCGAGGACUUCGGUUCUAGCGGCGGACGGGUGUGUAACGCGUGGGAAUGUGCCCUUCUCUACGGAAUAGCCCUGGGAAACUGGGAGUAAUACCGUAUACGCCCUUUUGGGGAAAGAUUUAUCGGAGAAGGAUGAGCCCGCGUUGGAUUAGGUAGUUGGUGGGGUAAUGGCCUACCAAGCAGACGAUCCAUAGCUGGUUUGAGAGGAUGAUCAGCCACACUGGGACUGAGACACGGCCCAGACUCCUACGGGAGGCAGCAGUGGGGAAUCUUAGACAAUGGGGGCAAUCCUGAUCUAGCCAGGCCGGGUGAGUGAUGAAGGCCUGAGGGUUGUAAAGCUCUUUCAGCUGGGAAGAUAAUGACGGUACCAGCAGAAGAAGCCCCGGCUAACUCCGUG